UACGUAGGGUGCAAGCGUUGUCCGGAAUUAUUGGGCGUAAAGAGCUCGUAGGCGGUCUGUUGCGUCGGCUGUGAAAACCCGGGGCUCAACUCCGGGCCUGCAGCCGAUACGGGCAGACUAGAGUUCGGCAGGGGAGACUGGAAUUCCUGGUGUAGCGGUGAAAUGCGCAGAUAUCAGGAGGAACACCGAUGGCGAAGGCAGGUCUCUGGGCUGUAACUGACGCUGAGGAGCGAAAGCAUGGGGAGCGAACAGG
rnacentral:rRNA from 1 species